CUAUACUCUUAUAGAGAUCUUAUUGGUUUAUACUAAAAGCUAUCAGAAUUUCAAUAGUUUCUUAAUCUCUUCCUUUAAAAAUACAGUCUAUUAUUUUACAGGCUUUACAUGGUUAACUUGUUGAACGUUGAUAGUUUCUCUUUAGACACUGUAGUGCCCUCUAGUGUUAAUGAGACACUACACACUUCAGCUCCAUAUAUCGUGUAUAAUAACCACUUCUUUCUCUUCUUUGUCUCACUGGCAGCUGCUUGGGUAGAUUGGCAGAUUGUGUUUGAGGAGACACUCAGUUAAGGCUAAAUCAUGGAUCAGAAGUCCACUUCACCCCAGAGACACACGGUGAAAAGCAGGUCGAAGUCUACAGAGGAAGUCCAGCAAGCUAAAAAGGCCUUCCACAUACCGCAGAAAUCACUGCCUGGGGGGUCAGAGUUGGAAAAGGUGAAGGAAGGACCAGAAGAGAAUGUGACUCCAGCAUCAUCCACAGAAGAGCUGAAGUGAUGCUGCCAUUAAUCUGUGUUUCUCUCACACACAAACACACACAUAAAGAUAAAUGCUUGGUUUUUUUUUAUAAACAAGGUUUGAUCUAGUUAAAGCAUUAGCUCUUCCUUUUGUUGGAUGAUUUUCAGUACAGCUCAACACACGCAGAUACACGAAACCCAUCGAUCUGCAGCACAUUCAGUCUGUCUGUGCUGCAUCUCUGUACACUGACAUGCUGUUUAUAUAAACUCAAUGCUUUCACUAUGAACAUCAGGGCAUGUGUGCUUUUACAUUUAAAGAAGCUCAAGCUAAAUUAGAUCAGUGGUCAGUGCAAAUAAAUAUAAAAUGAUAUGCUCAAUGAAAUGCAAAUUUGGAACUUUGUGGCUUUUUAAUCUAUAGCUUUGAGCUCAUCCAUAGUGUACAGUACACACAUUUGAAAUUUACAGCUUUUUCUUGGAAGAUAGUUAAAAUGCUGAUGACUUUUCUUUUUUAGGUCCAUAUAUAAAUUUGUACGA